GAUGAACGCUGGCGGCGUGCCUAAUACAUGCCAGUCGAGCGAACAGACGAGGAGCUUGCUCCUCUGACGUUAGCGGCGGACGGGUGAGUAACACGUGGAUAACCUACCUAUAAGACUGGGAUAACUUCGGGAAACCGGAGCUAAUACCGGAUAAUAUAUUGAACCGCAUGGUUCAAUAGCGAAAGACGGUUUUGCUGUCACUUAUAGAUGGAUCCGCGCCGCAUUAGCUAGUUGGUAAGGUAACGGCUUACCAAGGCAACGAUGCGUAGCCGACCUGAGAGGGUGAUCGGCCACACUAGAACUGAGACACGGUCCAGAAUCCUACGGGAGGCAGCAGUAGGGAAUCUUCCGCAAUGGGCGAAAGCCUGACGGAGCAACGCCGCGUGAGUGAUGAAGGUCUUCGGAUCGUAAAACUCUGUUAUUAGGGAAGAACAAAUGUGUAAGUAACUAUGCACGUCUUGACGGUACCUAAUCAGAAAGCCACGGCUAACUACGU
rnacentral:rRNA from 1 species